GGCAUGACCCCAUGCGGCGUCCAUUCCUGUCCCAAAAGGAAGACAAACAAUUCUCCUCUGUUUUACCGGAGGUUUUUGUCGCCUUACGUGGCGAACGUCGAGAGAACGAAUCGUGGUCUUGAUGAAACUGAAGGGGACGCACCCCCGCACCACCGCCCCUGUGCAACUGGGCCACCAAAUUCCAUGCUUCCAACCAUGUGAUUCCCCAGUGAGGCGCACAUACAGUCGCCGCUCAAGUUAAAUGAAGUCUCUGGAUUCCCGUGGGAUGGAUUCAGGAGCUACACGGGUGUGCUGGAGCCAGCUGACUGAAGACGUGAGGCGCGAUAAAUCCUAGACUGAUCACCGGUCAAUCCUAGGACAGUCAGUCGUCGAGCUGAGGCGGAAUAGGCGAGGGGAUGAUGAGGAUGACGACAUUGAGACCAGACCAAAAAGACAUGGACUGCGCAGUAUGUUUAUGAAUUGGUAAGUCCAGCCAAACCACAGCAAACCACAGCAAGCAAUGAACAUUUGGCUGAUUUUUUUUUUUUCAUAGGGCUGAAAAAAAAAAUAAAAAUGAGGUGCUGUCUGGGAACACGGUGUCCCCUGGUACAUUUGUGGUUUUAAUGGAAUAUGUCCCACAGGAGCCCUGACAACAUGUGCGGUAAAUAUGAGUCUGCAGUACAUUUGGCUGGCAAAGACGAGACAAACAUCAUCCUAUCAGAAGACAAAGAAGGAUGCGAAACCUGUCCUGACUUUUGUCGCGUUUUUGAAGCAACCCAAUGCUGCAUCGUACUUGUCCUCGUUACGAUGGCGGUAAAGCUGGAGCCUCUCCCAGCUGACUUUAGAGAGAGUAAGUAUCCAACCUUGAAUGGCCGCCAGCUGACGACAUGUCUCACAUUGCCUUUUUAUUUCUUUAUUUGCAAAGUACAGGUAAAAAGUUGCGGUGUUGGAGAAGCCCAGAUGCAACAUUCUAUUUGUUCGAGGCUAUGACCACACUUGGAGAUGCCAAGACUGAAAACUUGA